GACGAACGCUGGCGGCGUGCUUAACACAUGCAAGUCGAACGGAAAGGCCCUGCUUUUGUGGGGUGCUCGAGUGGCGAACGGGUGAGUAACACGUGAGUAACCUGCCCUUGACUUUGGGAUAACUUCAGGAAACUGGGGCUAAUACCGGAUAGGAGCUCCUGCUGCAUGGUGGGGGUUGGAAAGUUUCGGCGGUUGGGGAUGGACUCGCGGCUUAUCAGCUUGUUGGUGGGGUAGUGGCUUACCAAGGCUUUGACGGGUAGCCGGCCUGAGAGGGUGACCGGCCACAUUGGGACUGAGAUACGGCCCAGACUCCUACGGGAGGCAGCAGUGGGGAACAUUGCACAACGGGCGGAAGCCUGAGGAAGCAACGCCGCGUGCGGGAUAACGGCCUUCGGGUUGUAAACCGCUUUCGCCUGUGACGAAGCGGGAGUGACGGUAAUGGGUAAAGAAGCACCGGCUAACUACGUG
rnacentral:rRNA from 1 species